rnacentral:rRNA from 1 species
GACGAACGCUGGCGGCGUGCUUAACACAUGCAAGUCGAACGCUGAAGCCCUUUCGGGGGUGGAUGAGUGGCGAACGGGUGAGUAACACGUGGGUAAUCUGCCCUGUACUUCGGGAUAAGCCUUGGAAACGGGGUCUAAUACCGGAUAGGACCUGUCCUCGCAUGGGGGUGGGUGGAAAGUUCCGGCGGUAUGGGAUGAGCCCGCGGCCUAUCAGCUUGUUGGUGGGGUAGUGGCCUACCAAGGCGACGACGGGUAGCCGGCCUGAGAGGGUGACCGGUCACACGGGGACUGAGACACGGCCCAGACUCCUACGGGAGGCAGCAGUGGGGAAUCUUGCGCAAUGGGCGAAAGCCGGACGCAGCAACGCCGCGUGGGGGAUGACGGCCUUCGGGUUGUAAACCUCUUUCGACAUCGACGAAGGGGCCCUGUUGUGGGGUUUUGACGGUAGGUGUAGAAGAAGCACCGGCUAACUACGUGCCAGCAGCCGCCGUAA